CUUCUCCUCCAAUGUCGGUUCACCAUCCGGGUAUGGAACAUGAUCAAGGGGUGGCUGCAGAUUGAAUGCAUUGAUACCGCAAGCUGGCAGCACUUCGAAUCCGCCAAGGAGUGGUGGAUCGCGCUCUCCGACUACUCCGUCCCCAACAGGAAGGCCGUGGCCUCCCUCACAUUGCUCACCUCUUGGGCCAUCUGGAACGAACGUAAUGCGAGGGUGUUCCGCCACAAAAGUGCCCCGCCAUUUGUAAUUCUAGCCCUCAUCAAAGAGGAGGCGGCACUUUGGGUCGCCGCCGGUGCUAAGAAGUUGAGUUCAAUCAUGCCGGAAGAGUAG
rnacentral:rRNA from 1 species